AGAUUGAACGCUGGCGGCAUGCCUUACACAUGCAAGUCGAACGGCAGCACGGGAGCAAUCCUGGUGGCGAGUGGCGAACGGGUGAGUAAUAUAUCGGAACGUGCCCAGUAAUGGGGGGAUAGCCCGGCGAAAGCCGGAUUAAUACCGCAUACGACCUACGGGUGAAAGCGGGGGAUCGCAAGACCUCGCGUUAUUGGAGCGGCCGAUAUCAGAUUAGCUUGUUGGCGGGGUAAAAGCCCACCAAGGCGACGAUCUGUAGCUGGUCUGAGAGGACGACCAGCCACACUGGGACUGAGACACGGCCCAGACUCCUACGGGAGGCAGCAGUGGGGAAUUUUGGACAAUGGGCGCAAGCCUGAUCCAGCCAUGCCGCGUGUGGGAAGAAGGCCUUCGGGUUGUAAACCGUACUUUUGUCGAAGGAAGAACGGCUCUGACUAAUAUAGAGCUAAUGACGUACCUGAAGAAUAA
rnacentral:rRNA from 1 species